rnacentral:rRNA from 1 species
GACGCCAGCCGCUGCUGCGCGCGUCGUCAUCAAAUACCGCUACGGCAUGGGUUGGCUGGCUGUGAAUAAUCAAUUGAUCGAGCGCGUGUUGGCAGGUUUCCACACAGGGCGAUCCCUGAACGGCGUGUCAUCAUUUAAAGAAAGCGUAAUAGCUCACUGGUCGAGUCGGCCUGCGCGGAAGAUGUAACGGGGCUAAACCAUGCACCGAAGCUGCGGCAGCGACACUAUGUGUUGUUGGGUAGGGGAGCGUUCUGU